rfam:Citrus sinensis cultivar Ridge Pineapple sweet orange scaffold01826_contig_1, whole genome shotgun sequence.
AUAUCAUGGUGAGGGCAUCUCUUAAGUAACUCCUUAAAUCUUUAUCAUGCAUCUUCCAAGCUUUCAUCUUCAAAUUGAUGGAAGGAUAUGAUCUCAUUCCUCAAUUU